rnacentral:rRNA from 1 species
UACGAAGGGGGCAAGCGUUGUUCGGAAUUACUGGGCGUAAAGGGCGCGUAGGCGGCUUACCAAGUCAGGCGUGAAAUUCCCGGGCUCAACCUGGGGGCUGCGCUUGAUACUGGUGAGCUUGAAUGCGGGAGAGGAUAGUGGAAUUCCCAGUGUAGAGGUGAAGUUCGUAGAUAUUGGGAAGAACACCGGUGGCGAAGGCGGCUAUCUGGCCCGUAAUUGACGCUGAGGCGCGAAAGCGUGGGGAGCAAACAGG